GAUGAACGCUGGCGGCGUGCUUAACACAUGCAAGUCGAACGGAAAGGCCCAAGCUUGCUUGGGUACUCGAGUGGCGAACGGGUGAGUAACACGUGGGUGAUCUGCCCUGCACUUCGGGAUAAGCCUGGGAAACUGGGUCUAAUACCGGAUAGGACGAUGGUUUGGAUGCCAUUGUGGAAAGUUUUUUCGGUGUGGGAUGAGCUCGCGGCCUAUCAGCUUGUUGGUGGGGUAAUGGCCUACCAAGGCGUCGACGGGUAGCCGGCCUGAGAGGGUGUACGGCCACAUUGGGACUGAGAUACGGCCCAGACUCCUACGGGAGGCAGCAGUGGGGAAUAUUGCACAAUGGGCGGAAGCCUGAUGCAGCGACGCCGCGUGGGGGAUGACGGCCUUCGGGUUGUAAACUCCUUUCGCUAGGGACGAAGCGUUUUUGUGACGGUACCUGGAGAAGAAGCACCGGCUAACUACGUG
rnacentral:rRNA from 1 species